UACGGGGGGGGCAAGCGUUGUUCGGAUUUACUGGGCGUAAAGCGCACGUAGGCGGGUCGUUAAGUCAGGGGUGAAAUCCCGAGCGCUCAACUCCGGAACUGCCUUUGAUACUGGCGACCUUGAGGCUGGAAGAGGUUAGUGGAAUUCCCAGUGUAGAGGUGAAAUUCGUAGAUAUUGGGAAGAACACCAGUGGCGAAGGCGGCUAACUGGUCCAAGAUCUGACGCUGAGGUGCGAAAGCGUGGGGAGCAAACAGG
rnacentral:rRNA from 1 species